rnacentral:rRNA from 1 species
CCUACGGGAGGCAGCAGUAGGGAAUCUUUCACAAUGGGCGAAAGCCUGAUGGAGCAACGCCGCGUGCAGGAUGAAGGCCUUCGGGUUGUAAACUACUUUUAUAAGCGAGAAAUAUGAUGGUAACUUAUGAAUAAGGAUCGGCUAACUACGUGACAGCAGCCGCGGUCAUACGUAGGAUCCGAGCAUUAUCCGGAGUGACUGGGUGUAAAGAGUUGCGUAGGUGGCAUAAUAAGUAGCUAGUGAAAUCUGGUGGCUCAACCAUUCAGACUAUUAGCUAAACUGUUAAGCUCGAGACCGUUAGGGGUAACUGGAAUUUCUAGUGUAGGAGUGAAAUCCGUAGAUAUUAGAAGGAACACCAAUAGCGUAGGCAGGUUGCUGGGACGGUUCUGACACUAAGGCACGAAAGCGUAGGGAGCAAACGGGAUUAGAUACCCGUGUAGUC